ensembl:lncRNA
UUUUUAGGGCCACACCUGUGGCGUUUGGAAGUUCCCAGGGUAGGGGUCAAAUUGGACCUGCAGCUGCCAGCCUAUGUCACAGCCAUGGCAACAGCAGAUCUGAGCAGCGUCUGCAACCUACACCACAGCUCACAGCAACGCCAGAAAUGCCAGAUCCUUAACUCACUGAGCAAGACCAGGGAUAGAACUUGCAUCCUUAUGUAUACUAGUUGGGUUCGUUAUCACUGAGCCACGAUGGGAACUCCUCAAAACUAAUAUCUUAUUUAUAAAACUAUACUAUGAAUAACAGAAAUUAUACAGAGAACCAUAGAAAUUAUGGUAAUGAAACUGCACUAGGACAUACUGGAAUGCAAUUUUAUUCUGCAAAACAUUCAAGCACUAUAAGCUUGAGCUUAAGUAAUAAUUAAUUAUGUGUAUAAUUAUGCAAUAAUUUAGUUGAAUUUUAUAGAGUAUCUGCCACAGGCAGAAUCCUAAGACGGCUUCCCGAGAUUUCCCACUCUAGUCCCCACAGAUGUCCCUGUGUGCAAACUUCCAGCAUGACUUAAAGGAAGCAUUGACAUACUGUACAAUCCUAGAAUGCAUAAAGUUCUGUUUAUAAAUCCUUUAUUGACAUCUAGUCAAGAUUACAGUACUGACUUCACGCUGUAAAAACUCAUUAUGAAGUUCACUAGAAAAGACUUUAGAAGCAAUUUAUCAACAGCCUCUGGAAAUCAAGUGACAAGGGAUUUAUGUUUACGGUGUUGCCAGCUGUUAGGUACCUCUUUGUAGGUAAGGAUGCUUCAUCAACUCAUCUUACCAAAGAGUCUUCCCAGAGGUGGCUCCCACAGAUGUUUGGGAUUCUCCAAGUCAGAGAGGAGAAUGACAGCAAUCCCAUGAAAGUGGCCUUGUCACCUAAACCUGAGAAGCUCAUGGAAUUUCUUUUGUGUCUUUCUAAUGAACCGUUAUUCUUUUGAACAGGAGCAUUUCUGUCACACAAAAAAUGUGGAACUGGCAUGUCAUCGCUCUGGGUGCCUGAGAUUCCAACUUGGGGUCACUUGGGGACUUAUUCAUACAGAAUAAGGUCUAGCAUGGACCAGAGAGUCAAUGCAUCUGAAGGAAUGAAUGUAUCAUAAGUUCACCAUUGUUUUUCUAAGUUCUUAUGUCAUAUUUUGCUGAUUUAAUCACCUACUCCUCGCCACUCUGGAAAAGUAAAAAAUAAUGUCCUCAUUUUACAGAAAAAUGGGACUGAGGUUUGAGAUGUUUAACAUGUCCCAGGGCUGUGGCAGUUCUUUAUUCUCAUGCUCAUCAGAGUUCGGUUUACUGAACAUCCAAAUGACGAUGUUAGCAGGUGUGUCUCGUAUACGUUAUUCCUUCAAUUGUUCCUAAAGCCUCACACCAGGAAGUAGUUCUUUUUAAUACCCAUUUUUCAGAGGAGACGCUCAAUGGAAUUAUGCAAUGUGAACAAAUCACACAGGCUGUGACUGAUCACGUUGGGCUUCAAUGUUGGGUCUCUACUCCAGAGCCUGUGAUCUUCCUGCCAUAACCCAGCUUGCUCUUCCAACAAAAGUGUAAGGCUAUUGUUAUUUUCAUUUUUAAGUCUGAAAUGCACCAAGCACUGACUUAAGGCAGUUUUCAAACUGUAAUAGCUCAUUCAGGGAGUCUUUGUUUUUGACAGUUUAAAAAAACCUGUGGCAUUAUUAUACUGUCUUUAUUAUACUGUCUUAUUGAAAGUAAUUUAAUCCAGCAAGCUUUGAGGAGUGCCUGUUUUCUACAAGUUCUGUGUUGUACCCAAUGCCUAUUUACUCUUUAAUUCUCUAGAAAAAUUCCCGAUUUUAUUGAGGACAGCCAUGUGUUUAGGUAAAAGAUGCCAUUUCCCAUAUUUUCUUGCAUCUAGGCAGUCAUGUGCAUACAUUCUAAAUGGGAUCUCCAGGAAAACUCUUUAAAGGGCCCUUUCAUUCUCCCUGCUUCUCACGACUGGACUAUGGAUGUGAUGUCUGGGGCUCUCAUUGCCAUUCUGGAUCAUGAGACAUCAUGAGAAUGGAAGCCAAGUGUUAAAGAUGAUGGGAAGAAAGAUACAAAGAGCCUAGAUCCCUGAUGAGGUGAUUGGGCCACCAGGUCAACCUUGAACUACUUACAUCUGGGAUCAUCAUCAUCAUGUGAAAGACAUAAAUUUUUAUCCUGUUUAAGCCACUUCAUUUCUUCUGACCUCUAAAUGUAAAUUCUAACUGAUGGUAUAUAGAAGAACUGAAUAAAAUAUAUUUAUUUAUCUCUGGGGAAGACAAAUCCACAACUUCCUAGAGUAUGUUCUGAAUAUGAUCGACCUAAAAAAAGAAAAAAAAAAAGUAUAAACCCAGUGGGGGAACAUCCCAGAGAAAAAGAAAAUUUUUCUAAGAGAAAGGUGUCCAGAAUGCCUCUUGCUCCUUGGGUGGGAGGAAAUAAGAAGUAGAAGAGCAAAUUCAUUGAGCAGAACCCUGAAGACUUAGAAGUCAAGUUGAAGUAAUGGCAAAUUUGUGGCAACAAAUGACAUUGAUAAUUCAGAAAUGACUUUAUUGAGGUUUUCAACAAAGUAUUGAUCAUCAGUUGUAAGCCGUGCUCUUAUGGACAUAGAUGUAAAUCAAAUAGCAAGUUCUUGCCAUUUGGGAUAUUGUCUAUUGGCUCAUCCAAAUUCCUUUCUUCAAAUAUAUGUCAUUUGUGGCAGUAUUUUAAGCUACACAAAGGGUAGUUCUCCUUUAUGCAUUUAACUACAAUUGAGUAAAAAUGUGGGUAUGUGUUUAACAAGACUCAGUUCACAUUUAUAAGGCUGGAUUAAAUAGAGGUUUUUGAGGUAGGAGGAGGAAACAAGAAGGGAAAUGCCAUUUAUAUGGGAUCUCUUUUGGGAUGAUGUUUUAGACUAGGACUAGAAGUUUGUGUCCAUCCCCACGCCCCACAAAUCCAUACUGUACCCAUGAUCCUACUCUUUCCUCAGCCUUCCUCAGUUACACUGGGGCCAACUCGCUGAAUUACCGCCAGUGCGAGGUAGGUAGAAAUGAUCUAACCCCUUCCAGGUGGGACUCAGCAGUGUCCUAGAAGAUUGUCCAGCCCUCUCGCUCCCCACUGUGGUGACAUUGGAUUUUGCAUUCCAGGUGGCAUGGCUACAAGGUGUAAGCAGCCUGGAGCCCUGAGUCACUGGCUGGAGGAGAUCCUUGCAGAUGAGUUACCUUCAAAGCAUUAGUCUGCAAGAGCAAGAAAUAGCCUUGGUAUGAAGACAUUGGAACUUGGGAACUAUUCAAACUUUUAGCUAGAGUUCAUUUUACUCUAACACUAUGCCUUAGAAGGGAAAUCAACAAUAUUACUUCAUAAAAUAAAUGAGAGUUGGGACAGAUUUGGUUAGAAGCACAGAAUUUGGAAUUGGCAUAAUACAGGCUUGGUGUGAUUCUUGAGUAAGCUUGGGCAAGUUUCCUACCCUCUUAAAGGUCAAGAUUUUUACCUAUAAAAUGAAAUGAAAGUGUACCCACUUUCAAGGACAAUAUUUUACAAACUGUAGUCUCACGGACCAUGGGUAUCAGAAGUACUCUAUAAUACUGUUAAAUUUCAAAUCAUUGAGUACCCAUCCAAACCCAGCUAAACUCAAAUAUUUGUAGAGGCAGGGAGGUUUGGAAGUCUAAUGUUUUUAAUAAGCUCUUUGGGUGCUAUACUUACUAAAAUUUGAGAGUGACUGUUCUCAGGGAUUGUAAGGAUUAUAUGAGAUCAUAGGAGCAAAUGCACAGCAUGAUAUCUGGCACAUGGUAAGGACUCAAUAAGUGGGAGAAAUACUUUUAUCAUUAGAGAACAUUAUGGUACAAAACUCAAAUUUACUCAGGGAAGUGGGCAAGUACAUGAAGGGUAAAGAAGGAGAAAGCUUUGUGUUUUCUUGGGCUUACCAACUCUGGCCUUAAAGGAAGCCAAGAGAGCAGGAGCACUGAAUGUAACCUGAUUUGCCUUAAAUGGAGGGUUAGGCAAAUUGCUGUGAUGUGGUGCAUAUUCAGAAACAAAAUGACAACCUGAAAACAGAUGAAGAAGAAGGUCAUUCUUCUAUCAACAAAAAUCCCUAAAGACUCCCAGGGUUUACGAAGGUGAUUUUUGAAGCACUGAUGGAAACGCGUUAAUGAGCAUAUACAAAUGUGGUCAGAUGGUGACCACCUUGCCUGAAGCUCUGUUGAAAAAUUAUUGACAGCUAUAUUGCUUAUUCCUGUAGUGGUUAGGAAAUGAAAUGCCUUUCUCUAAUCAAGUAAUUGCAUUAAGGAGCUACUGGGAAUAUUUGGUUGCUUUUCUGGAAUAGGCAAGAAGUCAACUGUGCUCCAACCAGGUUAACUGUCAAGAGGAGUUUGGCUCAAAUUUCUUUUAGUUCAAAUAACAUAUAUUCCCCCCCAUGCAUAUGCAAGUAAAAGUAGACAAAGUCAACGAGUAGUCAAAACAAAACAGCACAUUUGUAAUAAUUCCUUGCAUGUUUAUAAGACAAAAUUCAGCAAAAGAGAAGUUUUUUCUUUUUCUUUUUUUUUGGAGGGGAAGUGAGAGGUGGUUCUGGACACAGUACUAAGCCCUGAAAUGAGCAGCUCACCCCAGAGCUGGGAUGAGAAGAUUCUCCAGUGACUUAAGAUGGGAAGUUUUGCACCAGGCCUUAGCUGCAGAGAGAGUCAUUGUACGUUUUGCUACAACUCAAGCAGAGAGAGAGAGAGAUCUUCUAGUUAGGAUGUUUUCCAUUGACAGCAUUUUCCUAAAAAUACAAAGUCCCCAAAGAUUCACAUCACAAAGAUUAACUGAAGGAGAUCACGAACACACAGAAAAGUAAUGCCAGUGAGCAGAAAAGUGGUCAAUUUUUGGUGAACAUGAUAUUAGGCAGUUUCAAGCCCUUGUUUUUUUUUUUUUUUUUUGUCUUUUUGCCAUUUCUUGGCCUGGGAACCUCCACAUGCCGCGGGAGCAGCCCAAGAAAUAGCAAAAAGACAAAAAUAAAUAAAUAAAUAAAGCCACUUUGUCCCCACAGUGCCAAGUUCUUGGCUGGUUCUUCUUGUCACCCACUUGCCGACAAUGAGUAUUGUUUUUGUGACACACGCCAGACACAAUUUUGUGAGUGUAUGUGUUCUCAUGCCAGAGCGCCUCACUUGUGGGCUGUGGUUCCAAGGCCCCUGGACACUGAGAAAGGUGGGUCCAAGUUACAAGGUCUUCUGGUCUCACUGUCCCUAAUUUAUCCUUAUUCUCUCCCAUCCUCACAGUAAUAUGCAGGGUGUAUUACUACUAUGUAUAGCUCCUCUCUCACAGCUUACAAAAUUACUUCCACUCGUGAGGUAAACUUUCUCUUUAUCCUCAGCUUUGAAUUUGUCCACCAGCCUUGCUGUGAACAAUGGGCUUACAAAUGAAUGAUUCCCACCUGGCAGGACAGUGGGUUACAGAGCACAAAGUGGGCCACCAGGUCAGGCCCCUGUACUGUUCUCAGUGGAAAAAAUGGCAUUAUGUAGGAGGAUGCCAGGGAGAGGUGACACCAGAAAGAAGCUGGCACCAUGCAUCUGAGCUUCACAAUAUUGUAUUGUCCAAGUCGCCCCCUGGGAGCCUCCCGGCAUUCAGGUACCAAAUGGGGAGAAAACAUGCUGACUUGGCCAAUAUGGGUGUUAUGAGUGUUUGCUUAUAUUUGCUGAGUGCUUUGAAAAUGAAAAGCAUUAUGGGGCCCUAUGCAUGGUAAUUAUAAGUCCUCACACAACUCCCUGGAAAAUUAGGGAUAAAUGGGCAGGAAAUAUAAAUGUUUGUGACAGGAAGCCAGGAGCCAGGGUAGCUUGUGAAAUGUGAGGAGUUCCAAUGUUCUUACCUGGAGCCAGCCAGGAACUCACUUGUCUUUGGAAAAUCAAUGCUUCAUUGACCUAAAGAGAAAUGCUGGAGCCUCAGGAGGCUGCCUUAAGGACCUUUAUUAAGCACCCAUGGAGUCCUGGGCUGACUGAUCUUCUGCCUCUUACUUCCUGAAAGGAAGUACCUCUGAAGCCUGGCACCCGCCCCUGGGUGCCACAAAAGGAAUACCCUAUUUAAAACUGGCCUGGGCUUUUUCCUUAUUCCUUUUCUGUAAUAGAAUGAUGGAUUGGAAGACCUUUGGGUCAUUCAGAUAGUCUCACUUUCUAGAAUAAUUGCCCUAUUCAGGGAUCCCAGAACAAGGCAUGCCUUGCUUUAAUGUUUUCUGGUCAUCUGAAGCUUAUAGUGUGUCUGGCUAAGGGCACAUGUGGUGUAGAUAGGUAACCAUAUGGCUUCAUCUGAGGGGUGCUGGGAAGGAUCCCUGUGCCAGUGUUCAACUCUCUUGAUGGUCUCAUGGCCCCAGUGGGAAUCCCUCCUGCCAUUGGUUUGUCUGUUGGAGUCUCACAUCAAACUUAUCUUUGCAAAGGAUGGUGGGGAAAUACAAACUCCCAAUCUAACCCCACUCUUUUUUUUUUCUUUUUAGGGCCACACCCAUGGCAUAUGGAGAUUCCCAGGCUAGGGGUAGAAUCUGAGCUACAGCUGCCAGCCUACACUACAGCCACAGCAACAUGAGAUCUGAGCCACAUCUGCAACCUACACCACAGCUCAUAGCACCGCUGUAUCCUUAACCCACUGAGCAAGGCCAGGGAUCGAACUCACAACCUCAUGGUUCCUAGUAGGAUUUGUUUCCACUGCGCUAUAAUGGGAACUCCUACCUUUUUUUGAUAGAGGAUUUAGGGCCUCAUAGGAAUUACACUGCAUUUACCUCAUGUUAGAUGAGGGAUCUCUAAUAUGCUAAUGUGUGGCUGUGAUAAAAGUGAACUAAUGUGGUAGCUUCUUAUUGAGGAAUGGAUGACACUGGGCCCCACCUCUGAAAAUGGACAAUAACCAGCUGCCUGGCUGUGGAUGACCCCUGUUAUCUUUCCAAAACUCAGUGUUAACAUUUGUAAGAUGAAGUGUGGCUAGAAAAAUAAUUUUAAUUUCCUUUUUGGCUCUAAAGACUCCAUGUCU